AGAUGAUGGUGGUGGUGGUGUGUACUGAAAACACCAGCCUCUACCCCAGAGACUGUGUGCUACUGUGUAUACUACUUUUUAACCAGAGGGAGAUAGUCUACCUGCACGGGCAGCAAGGUACAAAAUCCCCUCCAAGUGUCUUCCCCCUGAUUUCCUGCGGUCCUGGAUCCAGCGGUUAUGUCACAGUGGGCUGCAUGGCCAAAGAUUUCACGCCUGACCUUUUGACCUUCAAAUGGAAUCGCAAAGGAGGAGCGGCAUUGGCGGACACAGACUUCCUUCAGUAUCCAUCAGUACAGAGCGGUGAAGUAUUCACCGCUGUCAGCCACGCCGUGGUGAAAGCAGCCGACUGGAACCAAAAGCAAGCCUACGAAUGUUCGGCAGAAUACGAUGGGAAAAGCACGACAGUAGAGAUAAAGAUGCCUGAAGCUGAACCGCCAAUUAUUCCCAAAAUGUCACUGUUCCUCGAGAUGAGGAGUGACCCAGCAGAAGCCAAAAAGGUCACUUUGGUCUGCUCACUGACCGGCUUUUACCCAAAAGAAAUCACAGUAGAAUGGGAAGAGGACAAAAUACCUAUUCAAGGCUCUAAAAAUGCGAGGAUUAUGGUGAACGAUGAUAAAACGUUCAGCCAAACCAACCAGCUGGACGUUGACAAUGAAAAAUGGCUUUCUGGCUCAGAGUAUACUUGCAAAGUUACCCAUAAAUCAAACUCAAAAAAACUCUCCACCAGCAUUUGCUCAACUCAUCCCACUUCUCCACCAUCUCUGCAAUUGGAGAGUGCUGAAAGAAAUGAUGGUUUCACAGUCACCUGUAAAGUGUUUACCGCCUACAAAAGCAAAGUUCGUUGGAUCAGUGAUGGAAGUACGACAGAAGAUUCAAAAGAAUAUGAAGAACUGAAGGACUCCGAAAACAGACUUCAGGGAUUUCAACACCACUUACCUUUGACCAAGGACAAAUGGAAAUCCGUGAAGUCACUCACAUGUGAAGUCCAACACAAAUGUUUCGGCACUGUAAGGGGGACCAUAAACAUAACAGGUGAAACAUCUGUCGAGCUUUACCUGCAGCAAGGCCCACAGAGACCAGGAAGGAAGGUCCAAAAAGGUCUCUGUCUGGUCUCUGGAUUUAACCCUCAAGUCAGAUGGCAGUUGGAAUCAGUGGAAAAGCCAGCAGCAGCCAGCAGGACUGUGACAGCAAAGAAUGGACACACCGUAGUGGCAAGUGAGAUAGAGGUGCUACAGCAAGAGUGGAUCAAAGGUGUCCUCCUCACCUGUGUGGUUGAGGACCAGGCUCUGGUCAAACCAAUCUCCAAGAACGUCAGCAUAUGCACACUGACUCCGCCCUCCUCUCAGACAGCAGAGCUGUUCCUGACUGGGCCCCCGCUCCGGGACACGCGGAAACAGAAGGGCCUUCCUUUCGUCUGUCUGCUGGUCGGCUUUGACACAAGCUACUUCACCAUCACCUGGAAGGUGAACGGGAUGCGCCCUCUGGAGGGAGACAAGAGGGAGCCGCCGAGCAGGAAUGACAACGGAACGGAGACCGUGCGCAGCACGCUUGACGCCAAGAGGAGCGACUGGCGCGCAGGCUCUCGAAUCACCUGCGAGGCCAGGCACUUGUGCUCUGACAAGCCCUUAGAGAGGCAUCUGGUGAAAGCUAAAGAUACCAGGCCACCCACAGUCAAGGUCCUGGCCCCGUCUGACUCCGAGCUGGCGGAGUCCAGCAAUGCCAGCCUCCUGUGCGUGGCGUCCGAUCUCUCGCCCUCCCAAGCGGAUGUACACUGGGAGCUGAAUGGGGAGCGGCUCCCGGCGUCCCGUUACUCCAGCAGCCCGCCGCUCCAGGUCGUCGGGAGCAACAGCUACGUCAUGCACAGCUGGCUGCUGGUGCCGGGGUCCGAGCGGCCAAAGGGCGGGUACUCCUGUGUGGUCACGCACGACUCAUCAGAGACGCCAGUGAACCACACCAUAUCUGAUGUGUUCGCCUCGGUGACCCGCACCCCGCCCCACGCCAGGUUGCUGUAUGUCGCCGGGGGACUGAUCUGCCUGGUCCACGGGUUCAGUCCAGCCGCCAUCAAUGUCACCUGGGUCCUGAACAGCGGGGAGGAGCUGCUGGAGUACAACACCAGCGAUGUGUCCAGAGGGGCUGAUGGGAAGUUCACCAUCUGGAGCUACCUGCGGGUUUCCUGGCAACCUGGGGCCAUGUACACCUGUAAGGUGGCCCACGUCACGAAGAAUCUGUCAAUCAGUAAGAGCGAGCCAGACGUCGGCGCAGAGAACGAGUACUUCAACGAAAACACACAGGAGCCACCGUCAGCUGACAGCCCUGAGGAACUGUGGAACACUGUCUAUGCCUUCCUCGGCAUGUUCAUCAUCGCUCUAUUCUACAGCAUCACUGUGACAUUAGCACUGAUGAAAUAACAAGAAGAUCACAUAUCCUGUGGUAGUGAUAUUUUUAAUGGGGAAAUACUUCAUGUUUUUCAAACCAACUGGUACUAAGAAAUUAUUCAGUUGUACCUUUGUUGUUGUUUUUUAAUGCUUGCUUUUUAAUUAGUAGCUCUUCUCCAAUUUGUCUAGCUCUGCUUUUUAGUUCAAUUGCAACCUUAAUUUGUCCUUUGUCUUAUUUAAAAAUAAACUAAUCAGGAUUACUUAUGAGGAAUCUGGCUACAGACAUUAAAUGAUGAUAUGGUA